rnacentral:rRNA from 1 species
UACGUAGGGCGCAAGCGUUAUCCGGAAUUAUUGGGCGUAAAGAGCUCGUAGGCGGUUUGUCGCGUCUGCCGUGAAAGUCCGGGGCUCAACUCCGGAUCUGCGGUGGGUACGGGCAGACUAGAGUGUGGUAGGGGAGACUGGAAUUCCUGGUGUAGCGGUGAAAUGCGCAGAUAUCAGGAGGAACACCGAUGGCGAAGGCAGGUUUCUGGGCCACUACUGACGCUGAGAAGCGAAAGCGUGGGGAGCGAACAGG